rnacentral:rRNA from 1 species
GGGGAAUCUUCCGCAAUGGGCGCAAGCCUGACGGAGCAAUACCGCGUGAGGGAGGAAGGCUCUUGGGUCGUAAACCUCUUUUCUCAGGGAAGAACACAAUGACGGUACCUGAGGAAUCAGCAUCGGCUAACUCCGUGCCAGCAGCCGCGGUAAUACGGAGGAUGCAAGCGUUAUCCGGAAUGAUUGGGCGUAAAGCGUCCGUAGGUGGUUAUGUAAGUCUGUGGUUAAAGCGUGGGGCUCAACCCCAUAAGGGCCAUGGAAACUACAAGACUUGAGUGAAGUAGGGGUAGAGGGAAUUCCCAGUGUAGCGGUGAAAUGCGUAGAGAUUGGGAAGAACACCGGUGGCGAAAGCGCUCUACUGGACUUAAACUGACACUGAGGGACGAAAGCUAGGGGAGCGAAAGGGAUUAGAUACCCCUGUAGUCCUAGCCGUAAACGAUGGAUACUAGGUGUUGCCCGUAUCGACCCGGGCAGUGCCGUAGCUAACGCGUUAAGUAUCC